rnacentral:rRNA from 1 species
UAGGGAGCGAGCGUUGUCCGGAAUUACUGGGUGUAAAGGGAGCGUAGGCGGGAUUGCAAGUCAGAUGUGAAAUGCAGAGGCUUAACCUCUGAGCUGCAUCCAAAACUGUAGUUCUUGAGUGAAGUAGAGGUAGGCGGAAUUCCGAGUGUAGCGGUGAAAUGCGUAGAUAUUCGGAGGAACACCAGUGGCGAAGGCGGCCUACUGGGCUUUAACUGACGCUGAGGCUCGAAAGUGUGGGGAGCAA